UAGACCUUUCUUUGUUAUAGACCUUUGUAAUAGACCUGUCUGGAGCCCACACAUGCGGUGGCAGCAAAUGCAGCCAUAGUAUCAACAGCAUCAGGGAUAAUCAGCCCAGAGAUGGUCAAAGUGUCAAAACUAAAGGAAAUUACUGGUAUUAAUUGACCCAUCUCUUGACCAAUGAACAAGUUACCCCAGGGAUAACAGCGCAAUCCUAUUUGAGAGCCCCUAUGGAAAAUUAGGGUUUAUGACCUCGAUGUUAGAUCAGGACAUCCAAAUGGUGCAACUACUAUUAAAGGUUCCUUUGUUCAAUGUAAAGUCCUACAUGAUCUGAGUUCAAACCGGAGAAAUCCAGGUCAGUUUCUAUUACAGGGGAUGUUCUGGUUAUACUGAGUAUAGAUGGCUUUGACUA
rnacentral:ncRNA from 1 species